CCCGCCUUAGCUCAAUGGUAGAGCAUUCGGCUGUAGCUUCCGCCCUGUGGGGCGAAGGCAAUCAGGCCUUGAGCAGACACCGAGUGGUUCCAGGUUCAAAUCCCGGAGGCGGGA
rnacentral:tRNA from 1 species